rnacentral:tRNA from 1 species
GCCUGGUUAGCUCAGUCGGGAGAGCACUCGCCCUGUUAGCGAGGAGUCCCGGAAUCGAGUCCCGGACUGGCCG